CACACCAUCCCAUGUACCUUUGGCUAUUUGUUUACCUUACAACACUCAAAGCAAACCCCCACCAUUCCAUCUUACCAAAUUUGUACGUAACCAAGCUUCCUUCAUGCUUUAUAAAUAAAUACUUGGGUUACCAUUCACUUGCCAAAUCUGUAGUAGAUCUCUUUCGUGUCAAGUUCCAGGCGGAGACCGAUCACCGAAGCCCUACCGCCACCCACCACUUAUUCACCACCUUAACAACCAUGUGAACCAAGCUUGUUUCCUCCACCGUUAUUAUCGUAUAAAAAGAAACGGAACCACCCAAAAACCAAACCUUACCGCCGCCAUCGUGUUUUCUGAAGACUGCAACGACUCCGAGCACCGCCGCCACCGCACGUCUUUGCCACCGUACACAUCACCACGUCGCCAACUUCAAUCUCCGUUGUCCGCAGGUUGUCAUUGUUGAGUGAGGUGUUAUAGUUGCCCGAGUUGGAUCUACACAACCAAGGUUACAAGGAAUAUUCGGGAAGAUUUGGACGGAUGGCUCGAGGGAUUAAAGACGCACAUGGAUUUUUAAAAAGAUUUAUAGUGUUUUUUUUUUCUUACACUAUUUGACUUAUUUGAAAUAAUGUAAAGUUUUACAAUUUAUGGAAUGAUCUUCUGACCACUGAUACACUGUAUAAGUGGCAUGUC